AUGUUGUCAUUGUGUGAUUCCAGGUUUCAGCUUGCUGUGUCUGAGGCUUUCUCCACCUGGCACACGAAGGUUGCAGAGAAGCACAGGGUCAGAACAGGGGCACAGGAACAUCCUGACAAGUUUUCCCUCCCCAUGCUACCAAACCAGAGGCCAGGCAUGAGGCAGCAAGAGCCAGGGAUGAAGCCAUCUGCCAGUGUGCUCCCCCUGUCCCCAGGCAUCUUUCCUGGGAUGGGGGAGACAGGUGGGCAGGAGUCAGCUCCUUCGGCUAGGCUCGACACCACACUCCUGGCCUCUGAGAACUGCCAGAGAGCACUCCAGGAGGUCUGUCAGCUGUCUGCAGAGUGGGAGCACGGGAAUUCCUGUUGGAGAGAGCAGAAGGUGGAAUGGGUGGCGUGGGAAGCCUGGGCUGCCAGGGAGGAUCAGCAGGUGCCCCAGGUAUCUGGCCCUGGAGGUCCUUGGGCUCCCCAUCCUUCACUUCAGCCCCAGAGAAAGGGGGUCACUGUGACAUGGGGGAGGGUUGGAACCCCCCUCCCUGUGGACGAGAUGGUGGAGAGAUUCCAGCCUGGGACCAGGCACCUUUCCCCACGAGCCAUCCAGGUGCUCCAUGCGCUGGAGCCACAUCAGACACGGAGGAACAUCUUCACGUUUUUGGCUGAGAACAAGCGACGGCGGCAGGAGCAACAGAAGCAGCUCUGCAGGUAACUCCGAAGGGAUAGAAUUCCCCCCAUCCCUCCUCUGAGGCAGCCCUGGGGCACAG
rnacentral:lncRNA from 1 species